AAUUUUGCUUCCAGGAGCCAGGGCGCUUGCCCCUCCAUUGCUAUGAAGACGGAAGUGUAUUCACCUGAGUCCUAUGACUAAUGUCUAUCAUCAGACUUAGUCUCAGUUCAUCAGGACAAGGAUGGCUCUUUUAUGGAUAGUCGAGGGAUGCAAGAACUCUCUGGCUCUCAUUCUUUAUCUGUAAAUUCACUGGUUGUACUGUAGGAGCAUUUAAUGUGAUAUUAAAGUCUGUGUCACUAUCCAAUACUUGCAGAGAAGAAUCAUCACAUUUAGUACUCGUUUGUGGCUUGUCACCAUUUGUAUCCUCUCUUGACAGUUUUAUUUGAUAUUUAUAAUUAUCAAAAACAUAAUUGGCAUUGUUGCUACAGUUAUUAUUGUUUUUAUCACUACAUUACAUUUGUAUACAUGA
rnacentral:lncRNA from 1 species